rnacentral:lncRNA from 1 species
GCAUGGUAACAUCACUUCUUCCUCAGGGGUGGAGUACAAGUCACAGAGCCUCCUUCAGGGUGGUGGCUAGCUACAUUCUCUGAGUAGUAGAGGAAGUAGAACAACCUGUGGUGCCAACUGAUACACCUGGUCCUGGCACCUUAUUAGCAGUGCCACCUCCCAUUGAGGACUACUAAUUCUCUUUGUUCCUGACUAUGAUGUGUUGCUGGGAUGAUGAAAGCAAUACACGACAAGCAAGAGGAGAAAGCUAGAAUCAUCCAUGAAAUUUGUAAUCAGAUAAGCCUGGAAUAUCUCGUAUCAUAUAGUGCUAAAAGGCAUGGAAGUUCUAAAAAAAGAAAAACCUCCAAAGUGAUUCAGGAACCAGCUGAAAUUUCUUGCUAUGGCCAAAGCUAGAACAAUUGGAGCAACACAAUUAAUAAAGCAUUAUCUAAGUAUAAAAUAAGUAUUCA